GACGAACGCUGGCGGCGUGCCUAACACAUGCAAGUCGAGCGGAGUCAGUAAGAGGAAGUUUUCGGAUGGAAUCUUAUUGAUUUAGCGGCGGACGGGUGAGUAACGCGUGAGCGACCAACCUUGCACAGGGGGAUAACGGACCGAAAGGUUCACUAAUACCGCAUGAGACCACGGUGUUGCAUGACACAGAGGUCAAAGGAGCAAUCCGGUGCAAGACGGGCUCGCGUCCGAUUAGGUAGUUGGAGGGGUAACGGCCCACCAAGCCUAUGAUCGGUAGCCGACCUGGGAGGGGGAGCGGCCACAUUGGAACUGAGAUACGGUCCAAACUCCUACGGGAGGCAGCAGUGGGGAAUAUUGGGCAAUGGGGGAAACCCUGACCCAGCAACGCCGCGUGAAGGAAGAAGGUUUUCGGAUUGUAAACUUCUGUCCUUGGUGAAGAGAAGAAGACGGUAGCCAAGGAGGAAGCCCCGGCUAACUACGUGCCAGCCGCCGCUGUAA
rnacentral:rRNA from 1 species